UUAGCCCCUGUGGCUUUGGGGUUGUAGCUUGCUAUAGCCCCUGUUACACCCCCUCUUUGUGUACCUUUGUUUCCUUGGUGGCCUAACUAGCCGCUGGACAACCUAUAACGCUUUGUAUUUGCAUUCAGCGUCUGAAAUCAUAAUAAUUACAACUUUUAACAACGGAUCUCUUGGUUCU
rnacentral:misc_RNA from 1 species